rnacentral:lncRNA from 1 species
GCAGUUAUGCCCAAAAUUUCAUGUAAUGAUCCAGCUUCAAGAGAUUUAUUUUGAAAACUAACUUCGUUUUCAUGUAACAUUUUAAAUUCCUCAAUAGGCCACUGUACUAGCUGCUUUUGGUUUCGAUCAAGCCAAAUACUCCUUGGAAAUGACUGCAUACCAUCCUUUAGCAUGAGCAUCUUCAUCAGAAUCGGAUUCACUGACCCAACCCAUCAAGAUUCUUCUGUUUUUUACAGGGUCAAAGAAUGAUUUCGACGCAUAAAACUUCCCAUAAUCAUAUCGCAAGGAGCCAAGAGUUAGUUCACUCUGAGGAACAAAGUGUUCAUUCUCCGGAUUGUAAUUACCGAUCAAGUAGUAGUCUCUUCCACAAUCGAACGCUGCCAUCUUCAACACAUGCUUUACUCUAGAGUUCAUUACAGAUGUAUCGACCCCAUUGUUGCUAUCAACGCACACCGGAAAGAAAUCAGGGCAUUCCCAUAUCCCACUGCCAGCAACUUCAUAAAGUGGUGAUUCCCACAUACUCCAGUUUACAAAAUCCUCAGAUCGAUAAAGAAACGCCAUUCCCGUCCCUUCUCUCCUACUACCGACAAUUAUCCUCCAUUUUCCGUCGUCUGCACGCCAGGCUGUGCUUGGGUCUCGGAAGUCAUCAUGUUUAAUCCCAUCAGGGACGUUAAUGAUGGGAUUGCCGGUAUGCUUGACCCAUUCUCUAAGAUGUGGAUCAGAUAAGUCUUUUGGGACAGCAAGGUUUUGGACUUGGCGGUUUUCAGUAUCGAGUCCUGUGUAUAACAUGACAGGUUUGUUUCCAGGGAGGAUUGUGGCAGAGCCGGACCAACAACCGUGAAUGUCGAAGGGUUCAGUUGGGGCAAAAGCUGGGUCGAGUGGGGUCCAGUUUAUCAAGUCACGUGAUACCGAAUGGCCCCAAUACAUUCGAGGAUGAAAGAGCGGUCCGGAUGGGUUGUGUUGAUAAAAGAAAUGGUAGACUCCGUUGUAGUACAUUGGAUCUGCACCCAUUGUUACAUCCACGAAUCAGUCAUGCACCAUGUUCAUUAUCACAUAUCAAUGAAACCAUAACUUUAUUUAGAUAAGGAAGAAAAACAAUGUCAAAACUAGAAGAAAAACUUACCAUUCAUCCAAUUUUUGGGAACUUGAAAGUGAAACGAU